CAACAUUUUCCUUGCCAAAGCUUAUUAUGCUGAUGCUAUUGGUCCUUGCUAUGGAAUUUCCAAUUAUUGUGAUGUUUUUUGGAUAUGUUGCUCAUUUUAGCUUUUUGGAAGAUCAGCAGCAGGAGUUGCUAAUUGACUCAA